rnacentral:rRNA from 1 species
GUCCACGCCGUAAACGAUGGAUACUAGCUGUUCGGAGCAAUCUGAGUGGCUAAGCGAAAGUGAUAAGUAUCCCACCUGGGGAGUACGUUCGCAAGAAUGAAACUCAAAGGAAUUGACGGGGCCGCACAAGCGGUGGAGCAUGUGGUUUAAUUUCGAUGAUACGCGAGGAACCUUACCAAGGCUUAAAUAGUAGAUUGACAGGACUGGAAACAAGUUUUUUCUUUCGGACAAUUUACAAGGUGCUGCAUGGUUGUCGU